GAUGAAGAACGCAGCUAAAUGCGAUAAGUAAUGUGAAUUGCAGAAUUCAGUGAAUCAUCGAAUCUUUGAACGCACAUUGCGCCCAUUAGUAUUCUAGUGGGCAUGCCUGUUCGAGCGUCAUUUCAACCCUUAAGCCUAGCUUAGUGUUGGGAAUCUGCUGUAUUGCAGUUCCUCAAAUACAACGGCGGAUCUGUAACAUCCUCUGAGCGUAGUAAAUUUUUAUCUCGCUUUUGUUAGGUGUUGCAGCUCUCAGCCGCUAAACCCCCCAAUUUUUGUGGUUGACCUCGGAUCAGGUAGGAAUACCGCUGAACUUAAGCAUAUCAAUAAGCGGAGGA
rnacentral:misc_RNA from 1 species